rnacentral:rRNA from 1 species
AACGGCGUCUAAUACUGGAUAUGAGCUCCUAUCGCAUGGUGGGGGUUGGAAAGAUUUUUCGGUCUGGGAUGGGCUCGCGGCCUAUCAGCUUGUUGGUGAGGUAAUGGCUCACCAAGGCGUCGACGGGUAGCCGGCCUGAGAGGGUGACCGGCCACACUGGGACUGAGACACGGCCCAGACUCCUACGGGAGGCAGCAGUGGGGAAUAUUGCACAAUGGGCGGAAGCCUGAUGCAGCAACGCCGCGUGAGGGAUGACGGCCUUCGGGUUGUAAACCUCUUUUAGCAGGGAAGAAGCGAGAGUGACGGUACCUGCAGAAAAAGCGCCGGCUAACUACGUGCCAGCAGCCGCGGUAAUACGUAGGGCGCAAGCGUUAUCCGGAAUUAUUGGGCGUAAAGAGCUCGUAGGCGGUUUGUCGCGUCUGCUGUGAAAUCCCGAGGCUCAACCUCGGGCCUGCAGUGGGUACGGGCAGACUAGAGUGCGGUAGGGGAGAUUGGAAUUCCUGGUGUAGCGGUGGAAUGCGCAGAUAUCAGGAGGAACACCGAUGGCGAAGGC